rnacentral:rRNA from 1 species
AGUGAACGCUGGCGGUAGGCCUAACACAUGCAAGUCGAACGGCAGCACAGUAAGCGCUUGCUCUUACGGGUGGCGAGUGGCGGACGGGUGAGGAAUACAUCGGAAUCUACUUUUUCGUGGGGGAUAACGUAGGGAAACUUACGCUAAUACCGCAUACGACCUACGGGUGAAAGCAGGGGAUCUUCGGACCUUGCGCGAUUGAAUGAGCCGAUGUCGGAUUAGCUAGUUGGAGGGGUAAAGGCCCACCAAGGCGACGAUCCGUAGCUGGUCUGAGGGGAUGAUCAGCCACACUGGAACUGAGACACGGUCCAGACUCCUACGGGAGGCAGCAGUGGGGAAUAUUGGACAAUGGGCGCAAGCCUGAUCCAGCCAUACCGCGUGGGUGAAGAAGGCCUUCGGGUUGUAAAGCCCUUUUGUUGGGAAAGAAAAGCAGCAGGUUAAUACCCCGCUGUUCUGACGGUACCCAAAGAAUAAGCACCGGCUAACUUCGUG